AUUGAACGCUGGCGGCAGGCCUAACACAUGCAAGUCGAGCGGGGUUUUCGGACCUAGCGGCGGACGGGUGAGUAAUGCGUAGGAAGCUGCCCGAUAGAGGGGGAUACCAGUUGGAAACGACUGUUAAUACCGCAUAAUGUCUACGGACCAAAGUGUGGGACCUUCGGGCCACAUGCUAUCGGAUGCGCCUACGUGGGAUUAGCUAGUUGGUGGGGUAAUGGCUCACCAAGGCGACGAUCCCUAGCUGGUUUGAGAGGAUGAUCAGCCACACUGGAACUGAGACACGGUCCAGACUCCUACGGGAGGCAGCAGUGGGGAAUAUUGGACAAUGGGCGCAAGCCUGAUCCAGCCAUGCCGCGUGUGUGAAGAAGGCCUUCGGGUUGUAAAGCACUUUCAGUAGGGAGGAAGGGUUAAGUGUUAAUAGUACUUAACUUUGACGUUACCUACAGAAGAAGCACCGGCUAACUCUGUGCCAGCAGCCGCCGUAACAC
rnacentral:rRNA from 1 species